rnacentral:rRNA from 1 species
CGGAACGUACCCUGAAGUGGGGGAUAACGUAGCGAAAGUUACGCUAAUACCGCAUAUUCUGUGCGCAGGAAAGAGGGGGCUCGCAAGACCUCUUGCUUUAGGAGCGGCCGAUGUCGGAUUAGCUAGUUGGUGAGGUAAAGGCUCACCAAGGCGACGAUCCGUAGCGGGUCUGAGAGGAUGAUCCGCCACACUGGACUGAGACACGGCCCAGACUCCUACGGGAGGCAGCAGUGGGGAAUUUUGGACAAUGGGCGCAAGCCUGAUCCAGCCAUGCCGCGUGAGUGAAGAAGGCCUUCGGGUUGUAAAGCUCUUUCGGUGGGGAAGAAAUGGCACGGGCCAAUACCCUGUGUUGAUGACGGUACCCGCACAAGAAGCACCGGCUAACUACGUGCCAGCAGCCGCGGUAAUACGUAGGGUGCGAGCGUUAAUCGGAAUUACUGGGCGUAAAGCGUGCGCAGGCGGUUGUAUAAGUCAGAUGUGAAAUCCCCGGGCUCAACCUGGGAACUGCAUUUGAGACUGUACGGCUAGAGUUUGGCAGAGGGGGGUGGAAUUCCACGUGUAGCAGUGAAAUGCGUAGAGAUGUGGAGGAACACCGAUGGCGAAGGCAGCCCCCUGGGCCAAUACUGACGCUCAUGCACGAAAGCGUGGGGAGCAAACAGGAUUAGAUACCCUGGUAGUCCACGCCCUAAACGAUGUCAACUAGGUGUUGGAAGGGUUAAACCUUUUAGUGCCGUAGCUAACGCGUGAAGUUGACCGCCUGGGGAGUACGGCCGCAAGGCUAAAACUCAAAGGAAUUGACGGGGACCCGCACAAGCGGUGGAUGAUGUGGAUUAAUUCGAUGCAACGCGAAAAACCUUACCUACCCUUGACAUGUCAGGAAUCCCGGAGAGAUUUGGGAGUGCUCGAAAGAGAACCUGAACACAGGUGCUGCAUGGCUGUCGUCAGCUCGUGUCGUGAGAUGUUGGGUUAAGUCCCGCAACGAGCGCAACCCUUGUCAUUAAUUGCCAUCAUUGAGUUGGGCACUUUAAUGAGACUGCCGGUGACAAACCGGAGGAAGGUGGGGAUGACGUCAAGUCCUCAUGGCCCUUAUGGGUAGGGCUUCACACGUCAUACAAUGGUCGGUUCAGAGGGUUGCCAACCCGCGAGGGGGAGCCAAUCUCAGAAAGCCGAUCGUAGUCCGGAUUGGAGUCUGCAACUCGACU